GUAACAAGGUUUCCGUAGGUGAACCUGCGGAAGGAUCAUUACAGUAUUCUUUUUGCCAGCGCUUAAUUGCGCGGCGAAAAAACCUUACACACAGUGUUUUUUGUUAUUACAAGAACUCUUGCUUUGGUCUGGACUAGAAAUAGUUUGGGCCAGAGGUUUACUAAACUAAACUUCAAUAUUUAUAUUGAAUUGUUAUUUAUUUUAAUUGUCAAUUUGUUGAUUAAAUUCAAAAAAUCUUCAAAACUUUCAACAACGGAUCUCUUGGUUCUCGCAUCGAUGAAGAACGCAGCGAAAUGCGAUAAGUAAUAUGAAUUGCAGAUUUUCGUGAAUCAUCGAAUCUUUGAACGCACAUUGCGCCCUUUGGUAUUCCAAAGGGCAUGCCUGUUUGAGCGUCAUUUCUCUCUCAAACCUUCGGGUUUGGUAUUGAGUGAUACUCUUAGUCGAACUAGGCGUUUGCUUGAAAUGUAUUGGCAUGAGUGGUACUGGAUAGUGCUAUAUGACUUUCAAUGUAUUAGGUUUAUCCAACUCGUUGAAUAGUUUAAUGGUAUAUUUCUCGGUAUUCUAGGCUCGGCCUUACAAUAUAACAAACAAGUUUGACCUCAAAUCAGGUAGGACUACCCGCUGAACUUAAGCAUAUC
rnacentral:misc_RNA from 1 species